rnacentral:rRNA from 1 species
UACGAAGGGUGCAACCGUUGCUCGGAAUUAUUGGGCGUAAAGCGCACGUAGGCGGCUUGGCAAGUCGGAUGUGAAAUCCCUCGGCUCAACCAAGGAAGUGCAUCCGAAACUGCCGAGCUUGAGUACUUAAGAGGAUCGCGGAAUUCCCGGUGUAGAGGUGAAAUGCGCAGAUAUCGGGAAGAACACCCGUGGCUAAGGCGGCUCUCUAGUACGGUACUGACGCUGAGACGCGAAAGCGUGGGGAGCGAACAGG